rnacentral:rRNA from 1 species
CGAUUGGAUUAGGCAUGCAAGUCGAGCGGAAAGGCCCCUUCGGGGGUACUCGAGCGGCGAACGGGUGAGUAACACGUGAGCAACCUGUCCUCGACUCUGGGAUAAGCCUGGGAAACCGGGUCUAAUACCGGAUAUGACCUGUCUCCGCAUGGGGGCGGGUGGAAAGGUUGGACCUUUUGGUUCUUCUGGUCGGGGGUGGGCUCGCGGCCUAUCAGCUUGUUGGUGGGGUAGCGGCCUACCAAGGCGACGACGGGUAGCCGGCCUGAGAGGGCGACCGGCCACACUGGGACUGAGACACGGCCCAGACUCCUACGGGAGGCAGCAGUGGGGAAUAUUGCGCAAUGGGCGAAAGCCUGACGCAGCGACGCCGCGUGGGGGAUGAAGGCCUUCGGGUUGUAAACCUCUUUCGGCAGGGACGAAGUUGACGUGUACCUGCGGAAGAAGCGCCGGCUAACUACGUGCCAGCAGCCGCGGUAAUACGUAGGGCGCGAGCGUUGUCCGGAAUUAUUGGGCGUAAAGAGCUCGUAGGCGGCUGGUCGCGUCUGCCGUGAAAGCCUGCGGCUUAACCGUGGGUCUGCGGUGGAUACGGGCCGGCUUGAGGUAGGCAGGGGCAAGCGGAAUUCCUGGUGUAGCGGUGAAAUGCGCAGAUAUCAGGAGGAACACCGGUGGCGAAGGCGGCUUGCUGGGCCUUACCUGACGCUGAGGAGCGAAAGCGUGGGGAGCGAACAGGAUUAGAUACCCUGGUAGUCCACGCCGUAAACGUUGGGCACUAAGUAGAGGGGU